GGCCAGACUCCUACGGGAGGCAGCAGUGGGGAAUAUUGCACAAUGGGGGAAACCCUGAUGCAGCGACGCCGCGUGAGUGAAGAAGUAUUUCGGUAUGUAAAGCUCUAUCAGCAGGAAAGAAAAUGACGGUACCUGACUAAGAAGCCCCGGCUAACUACGUGCCAGCAGCCGCGGUAAUACGUAGGGGGCAAGCGUUAUCCGGAUUUACUGGGUGUAAAGGGAGCGUAGACGGUGAAGCAAGUCUGAAGUGAAAGGCGGGGGCUCAACCCCCGGACUGCUUUGGAAACUGUUUGACUGGAGUGCAGGAGAGGUAAGUGGAAUUCCUAGUGUAGCGGUGAAAUGCGUAGAUAUUAGGAGGAACACCAGUGGCGAAGGCGGCUUACUGGACUGUAACUGACGUUGAGGCUCGAAAGCGUGGGGAGCAAACAGGAUUAGAUACCCUGGUAA
rnacentral:rRNA from 1 species